UGCGCAGGCGGAAUAUUAAGUCAGUGGUGAAAGCCUACAGCUCAACUGUAGAACUGCCAUUGAUACUGAUCUUCUUGAGUAUAGUUGUAGUGGGCGGAAUAUAUCAUGUAGCGGUGAAAUGCUUAGAUAGGAUAUAGAACACCGAUCGCGAAGGCAGCUCACUAAACUAUAACUGACGCUCAGGCACGAAAGCGUGGGGAGCAAACAGGAUUAGAUACCCUGGUAGUCC
rnacentral:rRNA from 1 species